GACGAACGCUGGCGGCGUGCUUAACACAUGCAAGUCGAACGGAAAGGCCCUGCUUUUGUGGGGUGCUCGAGUGGCGAACGGGUGAGUAACACGUGAGUAACCUGCCCUUGACUUUGGGAUAACUUCAGGAAACUGGGGCUAAUACCGGAUAGGAGCUCCUGCUGCAUGGUGGGGGUUGGAAAGUUUCGGCGGUUGGGGAUGGACUCGCGGCUUAUCAGCUUGUUGGUGGGGUAGUGGCUUACCAAGGCUUUGACGGGUAGCCGGCCUGAGAGGGUGACCGGCCACAUUGGGACUGAGAUACGGCCCAGACUCCUACGGGAGGCAGCAGUGGGGAAUAUUGCACGAUGGGCGGAAGCCUGAUGCAGCAACGCCGCGUGCGGGAUGACGGCCUUCGGGUUGAAAACCGCUUUCGCCUGUGACGAAGCGUGAGUGACGGUAAUGGAUAAAGAAGCACCGGCUAACUACGUG
rnacentral:rRNA from 1 species